UUGCUGUUGAGUGAUGAAAGCUUUGAGUGAUCCAUCGACUGAGUAUAGAUGUUGACUCAUUAAGCACUGACAACAGCAU
rnacentral:snoRNA from 1 species